AAACUGAUCUAGUAAGUUUCUCAUAUGUAUAAAUGAUCUAAUUUGAUUUAAACAUACUUUAGGAUGUGGAAAGUGUAUCAGUUUGCGGAUAAAAAUACAUUAUAGGUCCCCAGCUUAUUUUUCAAGUAGCAAGUUGAUCCUCAACCUUUAAAUAAACGAGCAAAUUGAUCAUCCAUCAUUCAUUAAUGUUUCAAGUCGGUCUCUCUACUAAAAAUAUGAUCCGAAAUUAUGCCUUCUCAGCAUUUUAACCAGAUUGAUGCUGAUAGAAUUCUAGACAGAAGAAACGAUGAAUUUGUUGCUGGUUUGAUUAAUUAGAAUUAAAAAUGGAAAGAAAAAUUUAGUACAUAAUUAAAUUAAAUCGACCAUAGCCGCAAUAAAGGAAUCCCUAUUAUUUAAUUACUGAUUAUAAUUUAAUAAAACCUUAUCUGAAUAGCGACCGGAUAUCAACAUCAUGUGUGUAUUAUAUUCGCAUAAAAGUAUCGAAUUUCUGAAGGUGGUGCUGAUGGAUACAUUUGUGCUAACA
rnacentral:lncRNA from 1 species